rnacentral:lncRNA from 10 species
GUAGGAGGAUAGACCAACUAUCUUUGAGGCUUUUAAGGCUAUGACAACAUUACAUUAGUAAAAUAAUUUCUUUUACAAAUUAAAUGUGAAUGUGUUAGGUCCAUAAUCUUACAACCUGUAGGUGGCAGUGCCUUCCUUCUCUAUACACAGCUAUAUGCCUGGUUUCAUUUCCUGAGUAGCUGAGAAGCCUGCAAUGCAUACAGUGUUAGAUGCUGGGCCAUCUACUCCUUGCCCAAGAAAGCCCCUCCAGGGACAGCUGAAUCAGAUAACUGGAGUUUGCAUUCUGAGAACUAUUGUUCUGAAUUAACAUGUGAGGUUUUAAAAUUUUUUCUUAUUUUCUUGUUUAACUUAUUACAUUUUUAUCCUCUGCAUGGGGUUUUAGACUUAACAUCUCUGGAAAGCCAGAAAUCAGAGAUACAGAGAAGUAUUGAAAUGCUGAAAUGCUAUGAAUUUACUAUAAGAGAACAUUCUUCACUGAAGAGAUCUCUAGCUGCCAAAACACCCUUUCAUGCGUGAAAUACCGGGGCAAAGAGGAAGGAAAAGAGAAGAGUAUGACUCUAGGAACCAUGUUGCAGAAAUGCCAAAGGGUGGGACAAACAAAGUUACUAAUGUGGAGAAAGAAGAUUAUCAUGUGUGGAACGAAGGACAAUAUGAACAUUAAAUAAUGCCCUGACUCAUUCCAAAAAGAAUCUGAGAUGACCAAUAAAGCCAUUUUUAAUUGUUUAUUAGUGAACAAUAGAUUAUGAGUGCUAAAGGGAUUCAGGAAGAAGAAAGAUCAGUGCAGAGUAGAGAAGUCUGAUGGAUGCAUUGAAGAAGCUAUGCUUGAGCUGAAAUGACAAGAGAGCUGUUUUUCGCUUUCAGAAUUAUUAUGUGGCAAUGGUAAUUGACAACAGAGAAGCUGAAGGUAUGAGGACAAGGGUGUCUUAUCUUUCCCCAGAAGUCUUGCUUGGCCCAUGGGAGAAUACAGGCCUGCACCUUGGACUUGGAGUCAGUAGAUUCCUUCCUGUGAUUUUUUACAAGCUCAAACAUCCCCUGACUGAGUCAUUCACCAGAGAAAGAGGCUUUUCAAAUGAUUUGUGCAUUAGCUAUAGUCUGCCUUAUUCAACCCCAUUUUAGUGUCACAAAAGCUUCUUCUUCCUACAUUGUUAGAGCCUUUUUGACUUUUCUGAAACGACAUCUGCUCACCUCUUGGGUAACACCCUGCAGGGCUCAGUCGAGCUCAGUCACCCUUCACUUUUUUUUUUUUUUUUUUGAGCCAGUUUUGUAAGGUGCUGAGGGAGGUUUGUAUUAGUCCUUGUUGCCCCUAGAAGAAAUAACAGCUAUAAUUUUGGCCCCGAAGAAAAGGAACAGGUAUGACUAUUCUCUCUCUUUCUCUCAAACCACAAUCUACUCUAGGGAGGAAGUCACUUUAUGGGAGCAGAGUCACUCUCAAGUAAUAGCUGGCCAUACAGAUUGCUCUGGACCAAGGGUGAAUGUGAAGAAGAAAAGACCGGCCAGCAACACAAUGGAAUAUCUAGAGUCAUAUUGAGGGAAAUACUUAGAUUGCUGAUUUCUUAGUGGAUUUCACAAGCAGAGCUGCUUGUGAGCAGAAUGGUGAAGUAGGGGCAUGUGUUUCUGGGGUCUUAUUCCAUGGCUUCCUUCCACCUACAAGAGUCAUCCUCACGGAGUACUUGCAUUUCAGUAGAAGAAAAAAAUCUUAUAGAUGGAAGGGAAGGAUGGGGUUCCUGCUUUAGGAAGAUUGGCAUGGUCAUAAGUCUGAGCAAGGAAGGGCCCAGGGCAGCUCAGAGCUCUGAGCAGGAAGCUCUAAUUAGUUACUGAAUAUGGUGCAAGCACAAAGAGAGCGUAGUGUUUUCCCUUUCCAUCUGUGGAAGUCUUGGCCAUGCUUACUUGGGCGUUCCUUCCAGGAAACAUUUAUUUUUCCUCUUUAAUGCCCUCCUCAUAUCUAUGCUCUCAGUAGAGGAUGCCACUGCUUCUGGCACCUGGAUAAUAGAAUGAAGCUGAUUGGGAUGGAAACAGAAAAGUCAUCUCUCAGAACAAUGAGCAGAGACUGAAACUCCCUUGUACCCAGUCCCUGUGCACUGCUGUUCAUAGCCAAAUGGGCAAGGCCUUGCCAAAUGUCAUGUUGAGGUGAGGCCCUAAGUGAUAGAAAAAUAAAAAAUGACUAUGGCCACUUGCAUGUUCAGAGAAUUCAGUUUAGAAAAUGCUAUGCUGGGAGGAUCUCUCUUAAUAUCUUGUUUGCAUCAGAAUGUUCAAGUUGCAAUAUAUGUUUUUGUUUUGUGUAUUUAUUUAUUUUCCUCUACUCUAUUCUGUUAAGUCUUUUAGGGCAAAGGUAGGGUAGUCUAUACUCCCUGCGUUAUCCAUAAUGCCUAGCACUGUGUCUUGUACAUAAAAGGUCAUAAUAAAUACCUGUUGGCUAGAUAGAUGAAUGGAUAGAGUGCCUCAUUUAGAAGCAUUAUACUUCUAUGGAAAAAAAUUUUUAAAUGUAUUUUUUUCUAUGAGAUAACACAGUUCCUGAAUAGGUCAUGGGCAGGUGCUAUUCAAGUUUGCGAAGGAAAGGUUUUCCUAGAGUUAGGGUAAUUUUUUCCUCAAAUAAGAAAAACCUACAGUAAAUAAUUACUCUCCAUAUUAUCUUUAGGUUUCUUGCCAGUAUUAACAUCUUUUUUAUUGUAAGUGAUGAUAUUGUCUGUGAGAACAUUACAGUAGGUUAGUAUCCUGGGUUAAGCUAAGUGUUGUUGAAAAUAAUCCUGGACAUCCAAACAGGAAGAGAGGAAGUCAAACUAUUCCUGUUUGCAAAUAACAUGAUUCUAUAUCUAGAAAACCCUGUAAUGUCAGCCCCAAGGCUCUGUGAGAUCAGAGAUAAAUAACCUCAGCAAAGUCAACAUACAAACAUCAGUAGCAUUCCUUAUACAAACAACAUCCAAGCUGAUGGCCAAAUCAGGAUGCAAUCCCAUUCACAAUUGCCCCCCCAAAAAUAUAAAAUACUUAGGAAUACAGCUAACCAGGGAUGUGAAAGAUCUCUAUAAUAAGAAUUACAAAACACUGCUCAAAAAAUCAUAGAUGACACCAAAAAUUGGAAAAAUAAUCCAUGCUCAUGGAUUGGAUGAAUCAAUAUCAUUAAAAUGGCCAUACUGCCCAAAGCAAUUUACAGAUUUCACAGAUUCAGUGCUAUUCCUAUCAAAAUAUCAAUGACAUUUUUCGUGGAAUUAGAAAAAACUAUUUUAAAAUUGACAUGGAACCCAAAAGGGACCCCGAAUAGUCGAGGCAAUCCUAAACAAAAAGAACAAAGCUGGAGGUAUUAUAUUACCCAAUGUCAACAUAUACUACAGGGCUAUAGUAACCAAAAGAGCAUGGUACUGGUACAAAAACAGACACAUAGACCAAUAGAACGUAAUAAAGAGCCCAGAAAUAAUGUCACACCACUUACAACCAUCUGAUCUUCAAUAAAGCUGACAAAAACAAACAAUAGGGAAAAGAUUCCUCAUUCAAUAAAUGGUGCUGGGAUAACUGGCUAGUCAUAUGCAGAAGAUUGAAACUGGACACCCCACCUUACACUACAUACAAAAAUCAGUGUAAGAUGAAUUAAAGGCUUAAAUGUAAAACCUAAAACUAUAAAAACCCUGAAAGAUAACCUAGGAAAUACCAUUCUGGACAUAGAACUUGGCAAAGAUUUCAUGAUGAAGACAACAAAAGCAAUUGCAACAAAAACAAAAAUUGACAAAUGGGAUCUAAUUAAACUGAAGAGCUUCUGAACAAAAAAAGAAACUAUCAACAGAGUAAACAGACAACCUACAGAAUGGGAGAAGAUAUCUGCAAACUAUGCAUCCAACAAAGGUCUAAUAUCCAGAUGCUGUAAGGAACUUAAAUUUAUAAGCAUAAACAAACAACCCCAUUAAAAAGUGGGCAAAGGACAUGAAGAGAUACUUUUCAAAAGAAGACAUAUAUGUGGCCAACAAGCAUAUAAAAAAUGCUCAACAUCACUAAUCAUUAGAGAAAUGCAAAUUAAAACCACAGUGAAAUACCAUCCCACACCAGUCAGAAUGGCUAUUAUUAAAAGUUGAAAAAUAAUAGGUGCUAGCAAUGUUGUGGAGAAAAGGGAACACUUAUACACCACUGAUGGGAAUGUAAAUUAGUUCAGCCACUGUAGAAAGCAGUUGGGUGAUUCCUCAAAGAACUUAAAAAAACAGAGUUACCAUCCAACCUAGCAACCCCAUUAUUGGGUAUAAUCCAAAGGAAUAUAAAUUGUUCUAUCAUAAAGACACAUGCACAUGUAUAUUCAUUGCAGCACUAUUCGCAAUAAGAAAGAUAUGGCAUCACCCUAAAUGCCCAUCAGUGGUAGACUGGAUAAAGAAAAUGUGGUGCAUAUACACCAUGGAAUACUAUGCAGCCAUAAAAAACAAUGAGAUCAUGUCCUGUGAAGCAACAUGGAUGGAUCUGGAAGCCAUUAUCCUAAGCAAACUAACACAAGAACAGAAAACCAAAUAUGGCAUGUUCUUACAAGUGGAAGCUAAACAAUAGGAACACAUGGAUAUUAGAAGGGUAACAGAAGAUAUUGGGGCCUACUUGAGGGUGGAAAGUGGGAGGAAGGAGAGGAUCGGAAAAAUACCUAUUGGGUACUAUGUUUAUUACCUGGAUGAUAAAAUUAUCUGUCACCAAACCCCUGUGACAUGCAGUUUACCUAUAUAACAAACCUGCACAUGUACCCCUGAGCCUAAAAUAAAAGUUUAAAAAAAAAAAAGAAAAUACACCUGGACCCUAUUUUGAAAGACAUACUGUAGACUUGAGGGAGGAAGAGCAGAGGGAUGGAAAGGGCCCCGAAUUACCCACAAGCCAUGUGAAUGCUUAAGCAGUCAUGGACCACAAUUCUCACCACACACACACACACACACACACACACACACACACACACACACACACAGGUCUGAACCCUUACCCCUGUCUACUACUUAUUGGAGCUUGGUAGAAAAAAAGUUGUGAGUGACAGAAAAGUGAGAAAAAGAGAAGAAGAAGAAAAAUUGGAAAGUGUGGAAGAAAAAGUGGCAAAUGCAAGCAGCCCUUAAUGGAACUGUGCUGAAUUGAGAGACAGCAGAAGGUAACAGCUGGCUGGGACUUGGCCAUGAAAGGUGGAAUGUGAGGAGACAAAUGAAAUGGAAAUGCAGGAAAGAAUGGAGUGGCAAAGGAGGCUGGAGAUGGGGCAGAGGAUAGCAAGGGGAGAGAAGGAAGCACAGAAAGGGUGUGGGGGACAGGCCAGAGAGUAGAAGGCUAGAUGGAACUGACUGAUGCCACCAGUCAGAGAUGGAGACCAUUAACAAUGUGUAGGGAAACCCCUGCCUUCCCAAUAAUGAAAAUGCAGGUUUAAUCAGUACCAAGGAACACUGUGAAGUAAGGGCAUUGACUUGGGAAGUGAAAGCCGAAGAUAGAGCAAACCCCAUACGGCAUAUCCUAACUCGCCAUUUUAACAGCAGAAAGACUCGAAAAUACAAAGCAAAGGAUUAUCCAAAGGGCUUUUUAAAAUAAUGCUUAAAAUUUUAAUCUUGUAAAUAUAUUUCCCUUCCCAGUAUGAAAAUAAUUCCGAGUAUAAUCUUUAUUUACUUUCCCCUUUUUAUUUUAGAAGAGUAAACAUAGCUUUAAGAAUUAAAAAAAUCAGUUAAUAAUCUGACUUUUAAGUCAGCUGUAAAAAUGUAAGUUUCUAGCUCUGCCACUUUUUAGUAGUGUGACUUUGGGCAAAUUGCUCAAAAACUCCAAAUUCUUGUUUCUUUACCUACAAAAAAGGGACAAUAAUACAUACCUCCUAUGAUAGUAGAAAAUUACGUGAAAAUAUACUCCAAGUAUCUCAGAGGGCUUGAUUUCCAGAAAGCGCCCAAGCUCAAUCAAUAGUGACGUUUACUAUCCACGCAGCCAGUUCUACUACUGGGAGUUGGUUGGUGCUGAUAAAGCUUUUUGUCAGACUUCUCACAAUUUCCAUUGUGAGAAGAUGUAGCUUCCAAUUAACUCUGUCACUGAUUGUUGGGUAACUUUGGGCCAAAUGCUGUUCCUUAAUGAAUGUGGGUGUGAAACUUAUUAAGAUUAAUGACUGUCACAGCUGUUAGCCAGAUGUUUACAUAAUUCCCUCUGUUUUACAGCAAUCAUAUCAGAGGAAAGGGGUUGAAUGAUAGAAUUAGAAAAAUAAGUACAAUAUUGUGGGAAUGAAUAAAUGUUGUUUUGGAGGGUAGGAGAUUAAAAUCCUAAAUGUAUUUUGAUUAGGCUAAUAUUAAAAAUUAGCAUCUGUAAAUCAGUAAUCUAAUUGAAGGAAUUUUUUAACACAAGUGACUGGUGGAGGGGACACAGCAUGGGAGGGCAUGCUUACAGCAAGAGCUCCAUUGAUUAAAUAGUCCCCUGCAGAACACAGAGAGUUAAAUACGUCUUUAAUAGCCUCCAGCAUGAAAGGGCAAAUCAUUUGUUUUAAUUGAGGAAGGAUAAAAUAUUUUUGCUUUACACAUAUAUGUUCUAUUUUAGCAUCAUAGUUAUUUUUAUAGCUGUUAUAACUUCACAAAACCUAAUAGGAAAAUAAAUCUGAAUCCAGAAGAGUUCAAUACUUUCCAGAGGAGUCUAGUAAAUAAAAACUCUACACUGACUGACUGAUCUUAUUCAUGCACUGCUCCUAAACCCAAACUCUCAAGUGAAGGGAAAAGAGGUUAAUUCGUUGGAAUAAAUUCAUGGGAUUUUUUUUUAAAGACACAUCCUGAAUCAAAGUGAUUAAAACAACAAAUGGAUAAAGGGUAGAGCUGUGAGAGGACAAGGUUUGCAUUACUGAGCAUCUUGAUUAUGUGGGGAAGAUGGGAAACAGAUCUUGCCCAUUCUGGUCUCAAACUACUAAAUCCUGAGAAUGCCAAGAGGCGAGUCACUGAAGUCAGAAGUUGGAAACAUGGCUAAGCUGUCCAGAGUGUGGAACACAUGGUCUCUGAAGGUUUUUAUUAGUGUGUGGGUGAGAGUUCAGAAGCUCUACUAAUUACUUUUGUUUUCAGAAUUUAUAAAGUUAAGACAGAAAGCGGAAUAUUAACACUUCACUUCCUCGUGCAGUCAUUAAUUUACUCACUUAGCAUACAUUUAUUCAUAGAAGCUUAUUGGUACCAAGUAUACCCUCAAUGAGCAACCAACCCAAAAUUGCAAAAGGGAGAUCAAACAGGGAAGCUGUGGUAGGAAGUAUCAUGGCCUCUUCAAAGAUGUCUAUAUACUAAUCACAGAAUUUAUGUAUAUGUGAUGCUGUAUGUCAAGGGAAGAUUAAGGUGUGCAGAUGGAAUUAAGGUUGCUAAUCAGCUGACCUUAAAAUAGGAGUACUAUCUUGGAAUAUCUGGGUGGGCUCAAUGUAAUCACAAAUGUUCUUAACAGAUAGAAGAAGAAGGCAGAGGAGUCAGUGUUGGAGUGAUGCCAUGUGAGAAAGACUCAACUGGCCAUUGCUGGCUUUGAAAAUGGAAGGAGGCAUAAGCCAAGGAAUGAAUGCAGGUGCCUCUAGAACCUGGAAAAAGCAAGGAAACAAAUUCUCCUCUAGAACCUCCAGAAGGAAUGCAUUCCUGCCAACACCUUGAUUUUUAGCUCGGUGAGACCCAUGCUGGACUUCUGACCUGCAGGAUUGCAAGAUAAGAUAUUUGACUUAUUUUAAGAUGCUAAGUUUGCAGUAAUUUGAUAUGGUAGCCAUCGGAAACUAAUACCGAUGCCAAAGCAGUAAAGCAGGAAAGCACUCCAAAAUCACAGGAGUGAGAGGAGCAGAAAUGUCCUAGGAGAAGACAAUGUUUCCUUUUGAAAAGGAAAGUUUACUGGCAACUUCCAUUUGAAUUUCUUAAUUUCUUUCCUCAGUGGCAGUCACUACUUCCAAGGUGGCAGGUUCCAGAGCUGAUUCAUUAUAUAAUCUUUUCUCAGGAGUAUUCUAGCCACCUUUAAAGAAGCUAGGGCCAUUUUCCUGACACUGCAUCAAGGGGUAAGGUUAGUGGUAAAGAAACCAUGCGGUAGGAAAGGCCAACUUUCUCCCUACAUAAUCCAAUCGCAUUAUCUCCAGACUUGCUCACCCUCUGCUCUUUGCAUACUGCAGCUCCAGAGCUUUCAUACCUACAGACUUCCUGGAGUUAAGACUAAAACAAGAGUUGUGCUACAGACUACCGUUCCUAUUAUCAUUUUUUGUGUCCUGCUGAGUCCUCCCCUCUUGGCAACUUCAGGACCACCCACUGGGAAGAUAAUAUACAACCCAUCAGGAAACUCCCAGUGCCCAUCGUGGAGGCCAAGUGCUGCCAACUCUGAUUGCUUCUGGAAUGCCAUUUCUUCCCUGCCCUUUCAAUAUUCUUGUUAUGCGACUCCUAUGAUCACUGCCAAUCUGUAGAAAAUUACAGGAUGAAUUUUUGUGAAGGACUGAAUUUGCAUACUGGUCUUUUGUUGUUUAUUGUUGGGGGGAUUUUGCUUUUUGCACACAAUUUCUGCACAUUUUAUUGGAAGUUAUUGGGUUAGAUUCAUCCCAUUCAUUCACUAGCCUGGCAUUGCUAUGCAUGUGCUGUAGGGGCUUAGCAUUAAACGAUUUUCUUUGUUCAGAUUUGGAUUGCUGUCUCUGCUUGCAAAUUAUUUUUCACAAUGACUCCUUCUUUUCCUUCUCUCUCUCUCUCUUUCUCUCUCUCUCUCUCUCACACACACACACAGACACACACACACACACACACACACACACACACACACACACACAGAUGAGGUUAGAUAUUUUUCCAUUGCCAAGUUCAGGACCCAUGAAUAC